ensembl:lncRNA
CAGAAGCUGGCGGUUGAGUUGCAGGCUGCAGGCCACAGUGGGGUUCUGGUUCCUUUCCAGUGUGACUUAAACAGCGAGGAGGAGAUUCUGUCCAUGUUUGCUGCCAUCAAGGAGCAGCACCGAGGGGUCGACGUGUGCAUCAACAACGCCGGCUUGGCUCAUCCAGAGUCUCUGUUAAAGCGGCUGGAAGAACAUGCUAGAUGUACGGUUGCACACGUGCUUUUCUUUUUACACUUUUGAGCUUUUGAAUUUUUUGAGCUGCUUUUAUGCUGUUUGAGCAUAAUACUGUCAGGGCUUAGUGAAACAUUUAAAUAGCUCAGAGCCAUCCAGCAUUUUAUUGGUGACACCUGGGCUGAAAGGCAUUGAAACAAUAACAUUUUUUUAGAUCAGUGAAUCUUUAGUUUAUUAGAUAUAUAUUAGUUAUAUACCACCCUCUGGACUAAACAAAUCCCCCACUGUGAGAACACAGCAGAUGUUGAGGGGAACAUGUGAAUGUAUGCAAUAUCUGACACAUAGCUCAGUGUAAAAGGACAAAAAGAUGCUAUUGCCACUGUGGCACUUAUUUUUCUCACCGUGAGAUUAAAAGCAUCAAAAUAAUAGCUAAUGUCUAUUCGUUUUAACUUUUUCUUGCAGGUGAAUGUUCUUGCUUUGUGUAUUCGCACCCGUGAAGUGUAUCAAUCUAUGAAGGAAAGAAAUGUUGACGAUGGGCACAUCAUAAACAUAAACAGGACUGUUAAAUGUCUGAAAGUAGUGACAAUUUCCUGAAGCCUGAAGGCACAGUCUUGUCCCAACUUGUAUGUGCAACUGUGCUGAUAUAUUAAUAAUAAAUAUUGUUUUGGUAAAGCAACAGUAAAAACCUAAAGAUAAUUAAGUUUACUAUCAAGUAAGGUUAGGAAAAGUUGCAUAUUGGAAAUGUUUUGUUUGAAAACUGACAUUAUUAAUUACUCAAAAUAGAUUAUUUUUCUGUUCAAGGUUUAUUGAUUCAUUUUCUAGUUUUUUUGCAGACUUUUCUUCAGAGCACUUUACACGAUUGUUCUAAAUU